UGGCUGAAGACCUAUAAACUUAGCGCUCUCGGGAGGCAGCCCGAGGAUGUAGAGUAGUGUAUUUGUUUUGUUUUUGCGUGAUUAUUUUUGCAGGUUAUCAGGUUAUGAAUCUCUACGGAUGCAUUGGUCCAAGUGUGGGGAUGUUUGGCGAAAUCCCAAUACGUUCUAGUUGGAGUGGCAGACAAUGCACGGAUUAGAGUUCAGUCAGAGCCGUCCAUACUCAAUCUCCAUUUGGACGAGGAUGAUUUGAACACUAAUUGUAGAGAUUGGCCCGAGUACUUGUUAGAUACGGCCGCGAAUAAAAUGCUAUACGGUCGUGGUGGAACAUGACUCAUGAGGAUUCUACGCUUUAAACCAGGGGUGUCUGUUCCACUUUUAUUAUUGAAUUUUUUUUUUUCGUGUUCUUGGUGGUGUUAAACUUUAUGUGUUAGGAAAUGUGUUUUUGCUAAUUAUGUUAGGAUUGGUCGCUCAUGAGGUUUAGUUGGUAUUCCUGGGUUUUGUUUUAAAAACACUAUACAUUGGGGACAAUGUCGCUCAAGUGUGGGGAUAUGGAAACCCGGGAAGGGAAGGUUUGGGACAGAGUUUGAAAGAGGUUGAAAGUGAUUGAAAGCGAUGAAAACUAAAAAAAUUGAAAAUUUUGAAAAUUUUAAAGAAUUUCAUCGCCUUAAGUGAACUAAAUGGAUAUGAAAACCGAACGUUUCAAUCACUAAUGGGUCCCUUGCCGGUAGUAAAUUAACAUAGUCCCUUGUCAUGGUCAUUCCUUUAAGUUUCAUGAGAGUCGGUCCGACAGGUGUUUUUAGUUAAAAGAAUUGAAAAGAGAUGUCUAUGCAGGGGUAACAUGCUUUAGAUUGCAUAUGCUACGUCAGGCCACAUGUUAUUCUGUGUUAGAACUUGUAUGAUUUGAUGCAUGCUGAGACUGUGGUUUAACAUGUGCACGUAAAUGAUAAAGGCAUUAGGAUAUCCCGUACACCUGUUUGUUUGUUUGUUUUGUGUUCACCUAGUUAUCACCCUUAGUAGCCCUGUUGAGCCUAUCUACCGUUUGUUUGUCCACCUAAUGUGAAUUGUUUGAUACCGACCGUGAAUGACAAGUUUUGAAAAAAAAAGAAAAAAAAAAGAAAGAGAAAACAAAGAAAAGAAAAAAAAAAUUAUAGAAAAAGAAAAGAACAAAAAGAAAGCGUUGUGAAUAGUGUUUAUGUUCUUGGGUAGAAACCGACCCAAAAGUAUGCUAUGUUUGCAAAUAAAGUUGUCACGGUUUGGUCGUUUGUUUGUUCGC
rnacentral:lncRNA from 1 species